UUCGGGUUUUUUGAAUAAUAUAAUGAACACUAUUCGUAGUUAUGAGUUGUUAUAAACCGCAAGGCUAACACCGAAAGAUGUAAUGUAAUGUAAAAAUGAAAAUCGUGUAUAUCGCCGUUGAAUUUAAUGUUUGUUCAUCCAGACUCCCCCCGUGCACCAAAAUAGAGGAAAAGCAAAGAGAAUAUCAAUGUCAAUGUUUGUCACGGGCCUAAUGAGAGAGGAUGAAAAUAAUACUUUUAUUGUUCAUUAUUUUGCUGGAUGCUGAGGAAGCAAAAGACCUUCAAUGGCCUGCUCGAUGUGGGUGCUCGAUUCAAGUCAUCGAUGGUUACGUGACUGCUGAUUGCUCAGAUCAGCCAAGUGUGGACUUUGAAUGUUUGGCAGCGUGGAGGCCAAAUGCCCUGAAUCUCUCAGGAAAUGGCUUGCAAGAAGUCCCAUCAUCCCUGAAUGAAACAGGGUUUGAGAACGUAAUGCACCUCGAUUUGUCCAAUAACAAGAUUGAAAGACUCUCCAGCUGGAGCUUCGGAUCAAUGCUAGGCCUGAUAAGCAUAGACCUUAGCGGAAACAAGCUUACUGACCUGCCCAGAUCUGUUGCAAAAAUAGAUCUGGUUGAUGUGAGCCACAACAAUCUGACCGAUAUUCACAGCAUAAUUGGCCUUGUUAACACUCAGGCAAUAGUAAAAGGAAACCCAAUCAGGUGCAGCUGCCGCUCUCCGAUUGUGAAGAGGAUCCAUGAAACGGAAAGGAAUGUUAGUCUGGAUUGCAUAUUUGGCGACUCGGAAGUUCCACAGCCCCAACCAACGCAGUGCCGAGAUCAAAUUAUCGAAAAUGAACCACUUCUUGGUUCUUGGAAGUUGUGUAUAUUCUUGGUGAUAGGUACUUCAACAAUUGUUGUGGCUGUCGUUAUUUUGGGGUGCCGUAGUUUCAACGUUAACUGCGACUAGCUGUGCUAAUUUGAGAAGGAAGCCACGUCGGUGUGGUUUUGAGAGCAACGUGCUUACAUGUCAAAAUUGGAUAGCUGUUGAUCAUCAUGUAUCAUCAAUAUGUAUUAACCUAAGCAAUCGUCAGAUCUUUUGAUAUGCCUCUGAUAUCCUUGCUAUACACGGAGCAGAACGGCGCAGAAUUGUCCUAAACUAAAUGUCAUCAAGCAUCAUUGUUUGUUUUUCUGCUUUUGCCUGUUUUGUAAUCUCUCCCCGCUAAAGCUUGCGCUCUGGUUAGCUUUGACGCUCUUGAGUUUGAUCUCAACUUUCGGCUGCUGUUUCUGCCGGGCCGCGCUGAUGGAGCUGUUGCAGCUACGACAAACACACAAUAAAAAUUUAGCAUAUUUAAAGAA